UGGGUGAUAGUUUAGCGGUAGAACGACUGGCUCUGACCCAGUUAGCUCAGGUUCGAAUCCUGGUCGCCCAGCCA
rnacentral:tRNA from 1 species